UACGAACUGUGCAAACGUUAUUCGGAUUCACUGGGCUUAAAGGGUGCGUAGGCGGCCAUGUAAGUAGGGUGUGAAAUCCCCCGGCUUAACCGGGGAACUGCGCCCUAAACUGUAUGGCUGGAGUGAGAUAGGGGUGUGUGGAACUUCCGGUGGAGCGGUGAAAUGUGUUGAUAUCGGAAGGAACGCCGGUGGCGAAGGCGGGUCUCUGGGCCGAUAUUGACGCUGAGGAGCGAAAGCGUGGGGAGCAAACAGG
rnacentral:rRNA from 1 species